AUUGAACGCUGGCGGCAGGCCUAACACAUGCAAGUCGAGCGGAUGAAGGGAGCUUGCUCCUGGCUUCAGCUGCGGACGGGUGAGUAAUGCCUAGGAAUCUGCCUGGUAGUUGGGGAUAACGUCCGGAAACGGGCGCUAAUACCGCAUACGUCCUGAUGGAGAAAGUGGGGGAUCUUCGGACCUCACGCUAUCAGAUGAGCCUAGGUCGGAUUAGCUAGUUGGUGGGGUAAAGGCCUACCAAGGCGACGAUCCGUAACUGGUCUGAGAGGAUGAUCAGUCACACUGGAACUGAGAACCGGUCCAGACUCCUACGGGAGGCAGCAGUGGGGAAUAUUGGACAAUGGGCGAAAGCCUGCUCCAGCCAUGCCGCGUGUGUGAAGAAGGUCUUCGGAUUGUAAAGCACUUUAAGUUGGGAGGAAGGGCAGUAAGUUAAUACCUUGCUGUUUUGACGUUACCAACAGAAUAAGCACCGGCUAACUUCGU
rnacentral:rRNA from 1 species